CACGUAGGGGGCAAGCGUUGUCCGGAUUUAUUGGGCGUAAAGAGCUCGUAGGCGGCUUAGUAAGUCGGGUGUGAAACCUCCAGGCUCAACCUGGAGACGCCACCCGAUACUGCUGUGGCUAGAGUCCGGUAGGGGAGCGUGGAAUUCCUGGUGUAGCGGUGAAAUGCGCAGAUAUCAGGAGGAACACCGGUGGCGAGGGCGGGUCUCUGGGCCGAAACUGACGCUGAGGAGCGAAAGCGUGGGGAGCGAACAGG
rnacentral:rRNA from 1 species